rnacentral:misc_RNA from 1 species
GAUGAAGAACGUAGCGAAAUGCGCUAAGUAAUGUGAAUUGCAGAAUUCAGUGAAUCAUCGAAUCUUUGAACGCACAUUGCGCCCUCUGGUAUUCCGGGGGGCAUGCCUGUUCGAGCGUCAUUAUAACCACUCAAGCUCUCGCUUGGUAUUGGGGUUCGCGGUUUCGCGGCCCCUAAAAUCAGUGGCGGUGCCUGUCGGCUCUACGCGUAGUAAUACUUCUCGCGAUUGAGUUCGAUAGGUCUACUUGCCAGUAACCCCCAAUUUUUACAGGUUGACCUCGGAUCAGGUAGGGAUACCCGCUGAACUUAAGCAUAUCAAUAAGCGGAGGA